ensembl:snoRNA U8 U8 small nucleolar RNA
UCCUCAGGUGGAAUAACCCCUAUUUGUUCCUCCCUUUGGAGGGCAGAUAGAAAAUGAUGACUGGAGUUUGCAUGAUGCAUGAUUAGCAUCUCUGAGCAAUCAGGACUUGCUCCCUGAUUGCUCCUGUUUGAU